rnacentral:rRNA from 1 species
AUGUGCAACCGCUCGCCGGAAUCCGGCUGCUCCUCCAACGCGCCGCCCACGCCGUCCUCUACUCGUUCCCGCAUCCUGCCGGCUGCAUCUCGCUGUUUCGCGCCGCCGAGAUCACGCCUACCGCCUUCCCGCGGACGCCGGAGGAAGAGCUCAGGCACUGCUCCUCCACAUCCUCUUGGUUGCCCGACCACCACUCUGCCUUCUUCCGUUGCGGCUUUGUCGCCAUCGCAUCCAGGCAGAAGCUAA